GAUGAACGCUGGCGGCGUGCCUAAUACAUGCAAGUCGAGCGAACGGACGAGAAGCUUGCUUCGCUGAUGUUAGCGGCGGACGGGUGAGUAACACGUGGAUAACCUACCUAUAAGACUGGGAUAACUUCGGGAAACCGGAGCUAAUACCGGAUAAUAUUUUGAACCGCAUGGUUCAAAAGUGAAAGACGGUCUUUCUGUCACUUAUAGAUGGAUCCGCGCUGCAUUAGCUAGUUGGUAAGGUAACGGCUUACCAAGGCAACGAUGCAUAGCCGACCUGAGAGGGUGAUCGGCCACACGGGAGCUGAGACACGGUCCAGACUCCUACGGGACGCCGCAGUAGGGAAUCUUCCGCAGUGGGCGAAAGCCUGACGGAGCGGCGCCACGUGAGUGAUGAAGGUCUUCGGAUCGUAAAACUCUGUUAUUAGGGAAAAACAGAUGUGUAAGUAAAUGUGCACAUCUUGACGGUACCUAGUCAGAAAGCCACGGCUAACUACGUG
rnacentral:rRNA from 1 species